rnacentral:rRNA from 1 species
UUGCCAGACUCCUACGGGAGGCAGCAGUCGGGAAUAUUGCGCAAUGGAGGAAACUCUGACGCAGUGACGCCGCGUAUAGGAAGAAGUUUUUCGGAAUGUAAACUAUUGUCGUUAGGGAAGAGAAAGGACAGUACCUAAGGAGGAAGCUCCGGCUAACUACGUGCCAGCAGCCGCGGUAAUACGUAGGGAGCGAGCGUUAAUCGGAAUUACUGGGCGUAAAGCGCUCGUAGGCGGUAUGUCAAGUCAAGGGUGAAAUCCCCGCGCUCAACGUGGGAACUGCCUUUGAAACUGGCAAACUGGAGUGUGUGAGAGGAUAGUGGAAUUCCAGGUGUAGGAGUGAAAUCCGUAGAUAUCUGGAGGAACAUCAGUGGCGAAGGCGACUAUCUGGCACAUAACUGACGCUGAGGAGCGAAAGCGUGGGUAGCAAACAGGAUUAGAUACCCGCGUAAC